AAUAGAUACCCAGGUAGUCCACGCCGUAAACGAUGGAUACUAGCUGUUCGUCCGCCUCGGCGGAUGAGUGGCUAAGCGAAAGUGAUAAGUAUCCCACCUGGGGAGUACGAACGCAAGUUUGAAACUCAAAGGAAUUGACGGGGGCCCGCACAAGCGGUGGAGCAUGUGGUUUAAUUCGAUGAUACGCGAGGAACCUUACCAAGGCUUAAAUGUAGAUUGACAGGACUGGAAACAGUUUUUUCUUCGGACAAUUUACAAGGUGCUGCAUGGUUGUCGUCAGCUCGUGCCGUGAGGUGUCAGGUUAAGUCCUAUAACGAGCGCAACCCCUGUUGUUAGUUGCCAGCGAGUCAAGUCGGGAACUCUAACAAGACUGCCAGUGUAAACUGUGAGGAAGGUGGGGAUGACGUCAAAUCAUCACGGCCCUUACGCCUUGGGCUACACACGUGCUACAAUGGCCGGUACAGAGAGCAGCCACUGCGCGAGCAGGAGCGAAUCUAUAAAACCGGUCACAGUUCGGAUCGGAGUCUGCAAC
rnacentral:rRNA from 1 species